rnacentral:rRNA from 1 species
AAACUUUCAACAACGGAUCUCUGGGCUCUGGCAUCGAUGAAGAACGCAGCGAAAUGCGAUACGUAAUGCGAAUUGCAGAAUUCAGCGAGUCAUCGAAUCUUUGAACGCACAUUGCGCCCGCCAGCAUUCUGGCGGGCAUGCCUGUCCGAGCGUCAUUU